rnacentral:rRNA from 1 species
CCUACGGGUGGCAGCAGUGGGGAAUAUUGCACAAUGGGCGAAACCCUGAUGCAGCAACGCCGCGUGAGUGAGGAAGUAUUUCGGUAUGUAAAGCUCUAUCAGCAGGGAAUAGAAAAGAAGGUACCUGAAAAAGAAGCACCGGCUAACUACGUGCCAAGAGCCGCGGUUAUAAGUAGGGGGCAAGCGUUAUCCGGAUUUACUGGGGGUAAAGGGAGCGUAGGCGGAAAGGUAAGUCCGAAGGGAAAGGCCAAGGCUCAACCCUGGGACUGCUUUUGAAACUGGCAAACUAGAGUACGGGAGAGGUAAGAGGAAUUCCUAGUGUAGCGGUGAAAUGCGUAGAUAUUAGGAAGAACACCAGUGGCGAAGGCAGCUUACUGGCCCGAAACUGACGUUGAGGCACGAAAGCGUGGGGAGCAAACAGGAUUAGAUACCCUAGUAGUC